rnacentral:rRNA from 1 species
UUUAUUGGAGAGUUUGAUCCUGGCUCAGGAUGAACGCUGGCGGCGUGCCUAAUACAUGCAAGUCGAGCGAAUGGAUUGAGAGCUUGCUCUCAAGAAGUUAGCGGCGGACGGGUGAGUAACACGUGGGUAACCUGCCCAUAAGACUGGGAUAACUCCGGGAAACCGGGGCUAAUACCGGAUAACAUUUUGAACUGCAUGGUUCGAAAUUGAAAGGCGGCUUCGGCUGUCACUUAUGGAUGGACCCGCGUCGCAUUAGCUAGUUGGUGAGG